GAUGAACGCUGGCGGCGUGCCUAAUACAUGCAAGUCGAGCGAACAGAUAAGGAGCUUGCUCCUUUGACGUUAGCGGCGGACGGGUGAGUAACACGUGGGUACCCUACCUAUAAGACUGGGAUAACUUCGGGAAACCGGAGCUAAUACCGGAUAACAUUUGGAACCGCAUGGUUCUAAAGUGAAAGAUGGUUUUGCUAUCACUUAUAGAUGGACCCGCGCCGUAUUAGCUAGUUGGUAAGGUAACGGCUUACCAAGGCAACGAUGCGUAGCCGACCUGAGAGGGGGGUCGGCGACACUGGAGCUGAGACACGGUCCAGACGCCUACGAGAGGCAGCAGUAGGGAAUCUUCCGCAGUGGGCGAAAGCCUGACGGAGCAACGCGGCGUGAGUGAUGAAGGGUUUCGGCUCGUAAAACUCGGUUAUUAGGGAAGAGCAAACGUGUAAGUAGCUGUGCACGUCUUGACGGUACCGAAUCAGAAAGCCACGGCUAACUACGUG
rnacentral:rRNA from 1 species